UGCUUGGACCUAGAGUCUUGAAACUUGACAUGAAGGUUGGCCAGAACUAGUAAGUAACCCCUGGACAUUUCAAGGUCAUUCAUUUGAAGGUCAAGGUCACUGUGACCUUGAAUGUAAAAAUUUUAAAGUUCUUAUUUCAUGUUAUAACUUUGGUAUGCUUGUACCUAGAGUCUUCAAACUUGAAAUAAAGAUUGGCCAGUACUAGAAGAUGACCACUGGUCAUUUCAAUGUCAUUCAUUUGAAGGUCAAGGUCACUGUGACCUUAAAUGUUAAAAUGUUAAAAUUGUUAUAACUUUGGUAUGCUUGGACAUAGAGUCUUCAAACUUGACAUGAAGGUUUGCAAGCACACUUAGAUGACCACUGGUCAUUAUAAGGUCAUUCAUUCUAAGGUCAAGGUCACACAAGGUCACUGUGACCUUAAAUGUUAAAAUGUUAAAAUUGUUAUAACUUUGGUAUGCUUGGACAUAGAGUCUUCAAACUUGACAUGAAGGUUUGCAAGCACACUUAGAUGACCACUGGUCAUUUCAAGGUCAUUCAUUCUAAGGUCAAGGUCACUGUGACCUUAAAUGUUAUUGUUGUUCAUGUAUCCUACCGUAGCUCAAAUAUCCCCCGAUGGAUUUUUUAUACGCCCGUCUAUGACGGGACGUAUUAUGGUAUACCCCGCGUCCGUCUGUCCGUCCGUCCGUCCGUCCGUCUGUUAAUGUCGUACACUACGUCAAAUAUCCUUUGACAGAUUUUCUUCAAAUUUUAACACAAUCUUAAUAUUGAUAAACCCUGAUCCCCUUUCGUUUUUGACGGAAUUCUGAAUUGUCGUUCCAGAGUUAUGGGACUUUGUUCGUCAAAAUUUCGUGAUUUCAUUGAAUGUCCUACUGUAGCUCAAAUAUCCUUCGAUGGAUUUUUUUCAAAUUUCAACACAAUCUUAAUAUUGAUAAACCCUGAUCCCCUUUCGUUUUUGACGGAAUUCUGAAUUGUCGUUCCAGAGUUAUGGGACUUUGUUCGUCAAAAUUUCGUGAUUUCCAUGCUCAUGUACUUAUAAAAUAAACCAUGUAUUCAAAUACAAAUAAACUGAAGUAAAAAAAUUA